rnacentral:misc_RNA from 1 species
GACGGAGGGUGCUAGCGUUGUUCGGAAUGACUGGGCGUAAAGGGCGCGUAGGCGGCUCAGGCAGUCGAGCGUGAAAGCCCGGGGCUCAACCCCGGAACGGCGUUCGAUACUUCUGGGCUCGAGACCGGGAGAGGAGGGUGGAAUACCCAGUGUAGAGGUGAAAUUCGUAGAUAUUGGGUGGAACACCGGUGGCGAAAGCGGCUCUCUGGCCCGGUUCUGGCGCUGAGGCGCGAAAGCGUGGGGAGCAAACAGG